GACGAACGCUGGCGGCGUGCUUAACACAUGCAAGUCGAACGGAAAGGCCCUGCUUUUGUGGGGUGCUCGAGUGGCGAACGGGUGAGUAACACGUGAGUAACCUGCCCUUGACUUUGGGAUAACUUCAGGAAACUGGGGCUAAUACCGGAUAGGAGCUCCUGCUGCAUGGUGGGGGUUGGAAAGUUUCGGCGGUUGGGGAUGGACUCGCGGCUUAUCAGCUUGUUGGUGGGGUAGUGGCUUACCAAGGCUUUGACGGGUAGCCGGCCUGAGAGGGUGACCGGCCACAUUGGGACUGAUAUACGGCCCAGCCUCCUACGGGAGGCAGCAGUGGGGAAUAUUGCACAAUGGGCGGAAGCCUGAUGCAGCAACGCCGCGUGCGGGAUGACGGCCUUCGGGUUGUAAACCGCUUUCGCCUGUGACGAAGCGUGAGUGACGGUAAUGGGUAAAGAAGCACCGGCUAACUACGUG
rnacentral:rRNA from 1 species